GACGAACGCUGGCGGCGUGCUUAACACAUGCAAGUCGAACGGAAAGGCCCUGCUUUUGUGGGGUGCUCGAGUGGCGAACGGGUGAGUAACACGUGAGUAACCUGCCCUUGACUUUGGGAUAACUUCAGGAAACUGGGGCUAAUACCGGAUAGGAGCUCCUGCUGCAUGGUGGGGGUUGGAACGUUUCGGCGGUUGGGGAUGGACUCGCGGCUUAUCAGCUUGUUGGUGGGGUAGUGGCUUACCAAGGCUUUGACGGGUAGCCGGCCUGAGAGGGUGACCGGCCACAUUGGGACUGAGGUACGGCCCAGACUCCUACGGGAGGCAGCAGUGGGGAAUAUUGCACAAUGGGCGGAAGCCUGAUGCAGCAACGCCGCGUGCGGGAUGACGGCCUUCGGGUUGUAAACCGCUUUCGCCUGUGACGAAGCGUGAGUGACGGUAAUGGGUAAAGAAGCACCGGCUAACUACGUG
rnacentral:rRNA from 1 species